ensembl:lncRNA
AGAAGAGGAUGGGAAAAGAAUUAAAAUGUGUUAUGUACAGGUACCAACUCCCCACGAAGAAUGUAAGCACUGUAUACUACAAACAUGCACUAAUAAAAAUUGAAAAAAUGUCUUUUUCUUAUGAGGGUGUUGAGUACUGGGAAUUGUACCCUUCACACUAAGCUACAGUAUAUCCCCAGCCCUUUUUAUUUUUUAUUUUGAAACAGGAUCUCCAUAAGUCACUGAAUUUCCCAGACUGGGCUUGAAAUGGCAAUCCUCUUGCCACUCGAGAGUGCUGGUAUUACUGGUGUGUGCUGCGACUCCUGGCUAAGCAGACUUGUAAUUCCAAUGUCCUCCAGAAUGGCUCUACGUACUGCUGAAGCAUAAAGAGAUCUGCUUAACUACAAGAUUCCAUGAAAAUGAUUUCCAUAUUUGUCCUUUUCCUGGGAACAGCUUCUUCCAUUGCAGCUACUGCUGCGAUGGCUCUCACUAUGUUGCCCAGGCUGCCCCUCAAUUCCUGAG